GCCUGGCUGGCUCGGUGGGUAGAGCAUGUGACUCUUAAUCUCAGGGUGGUGAGUUCAAGCCCCAUGUUGAGUA
rnacentral:tRNA from 1 species